GAGAUGGCCAAAUUUUAAGUAAACAAUUUAUUUACGAAUGCCUUGUAAAUUUCAUAAGAUAUUCGAGAGGAAAAUUACAUUCAUGGAAGCAGAUGUAAUUUCAAUUUUCAGUAAAAUGUAAAUGCUCGUUUCAUUUAUUCGUCUUUCAUUCUGUACUCUUGGAAUUUUUUAUAAUCGCAUCGGAAAAUUACUCGCGUUGCAAACUAAAAUGUUCAAAGCGGAUAGAAUGACAUAAAUAAUACGAUAAUAUGUACACACGUUUUUAAUGCAGCUUUAGAACUCAAGUUCCUGUCACACUGUACUACGCUAUACAUAGCGCUCAAAAGUAGCGAGCAUUAUCGCUAAAAAUAUAUUUCCUGAUCGAACGAACGCACAAGACGUAAUUUCAUGCAAGACCUUCGCGUCAUUCUCCCAUACUUUACCACCAUCUUUAUCUUUCCUAAGCUCAACGACUGCAAGCAGGAAUUUAUAUCGUCACCAUUGCAAUACUCUAUUUUAUUUAAGCAUAAAUCGAGAGAAUUUAAUCUCGUUCGAAUAGCGGAAUGCUCUUUCGUGGGGUAUGCUAUAUACACUGUACUGUAUGUUAUUAACCAAUGCAAUGCCGGAAGAACGGAAGAAUUUAUGGCGAUUCGAUGGUUCGGCUGUGUGACCCUGCAAACCUUAUAACUCGUGUAACCUGCCUUUUCGUCCACGAUCGUCUGGUAAUUUAAUCUUCGCUUUAAAUUACGAUGUUCCUGUUGCUACGAUGUUAGUUCUCGUUCGCGUAGCGAACGAGUGACUUCGUUCUAAUAAGUGUAAUCAGCCAGGUUUCUUGACGUCGAAUGAGAUUAUCGGAGUAAUGUUGAUUUCUCGAUCGAAAAAGAAAAAAAAAAAAAAAAGAAAAAGGAAGAAGGAAAAACAUCGAUCUGAUCGUAUCACGCCUGUUAAAAACGUUCCGUUGGAAACAUUACAAAUUUUCAUCGGUAUCUGCAAAUACUGAUGUAAUUUAAUCGUUAACAUAAUCAGCUUCUGCAACGCUAUUUUAAACAUCAUACGGUCUGUGAAAAUGGCGUGUCAGUUUGUGCUGCACUUGGGUGCAGGUAAUCAACAAGAGAUUUAAUGUGCAUCGGUGACAGAUUUGGAUAAGCUCCAACUUCUUAAUGAUGAUGGACAUUCUCUAACUGUGUCUGCCAACAAAGAUGUCACGUUCAAUUAAAACUAUACCGUGUCUUCAGGACCUUGUGAACCGUCUUCUCAUCGAUUAUGAUCAGUGGUGUCUUGAAAAUUCGCUUGACAUCGUUUAAUUUAUACUUGAUCGUAUGUAUUAAAAAACGCGUCAAAGUAUGUAAUAAAAGCAUGGUAUAACUGCUGUUUGAUUAUGUAAAAUUAAAAAGAAACAGCUGUCUGAAAUUUAAA